rnacentral:rRNA from 1 species
CCUACGGGAGGCUGCAGUGAGGAAUAUUGGUCAAUGGACGGAAGUCUGAACCAGCCAUGCCGCGUGCAGGAAGACGGCUCUAUGAAUUGUAAACUGCUUUUGUACAAGAGUAAACCUGAAUACGUGUAUUCAGCUGGCAGUACUGUACGAAUAAGGAUCGGCUAACUCCGUGCCAGCCGCCGCGGUAAUACGGAGGAUCCAAGCGUUAUCCGGAUUUAUUGGGUUUAAAGGGUGCGUAGGCGGAUUGAUAAGUUAGAGGUGAAAUGUCCGAGCUUAACUCGGGAACUGCCUCUAAUACUGUUGAUCUAGAGAGUAGAUGCGGUAGGCGGAAUGUAUGGUGUAGCAGUGAAAUGCUUAGAGAUCAUACAGAACACCGAUUGCGAAGGCAGCUUACCAAUCUAUAUCUGACGUUGAGGCACGAAAGCGUGGGGAGCAAACAGGAUUAGAUACCCGUGUAGUC